rnacentral:tRNA from 1 species
GGGGUUGUGGUUCAGUGGUAGAACGCAUGCCUAUCAUAUAUGAGGCACUGGGUUUGAUCCUCAGCACCACA